AAGCGGCCCGCUCCCUGACCGCGGGCCUGCUCCUCAGCCUGACCCUGCUGCUGCUGCUGCUGGUGGCCCUGGGGGUCUGGUACAAGCACCGGCUCCGUCGCCGCUCCCUCCGCCGGGGCCCGGGCCGGCUCAAGGGGACCGGCGGGCUGGACAGCGAGGCGGCGGAGACGCGGGUUCGGUUCCUCCACGGGAGCUUCUGGGCGAACGGCUGGGGGGGCCCGCAGACCAGUCUCCCCCGGCGCUCCCGGGCGACCGAGCUCCAGUCGCUGUCCGGCGCUAAGAUUCGAUCGAACCGACGGAUCCGUAAGACGGGGAUCGGGAGCGGGAGCCCUCCGUGGGACGGGGACCGCGUCCACCCCCGUUUGCCCGGCCGGGCACGUGGUUCAGGGCCCCGCCAAGCCCCCCGCCCCCCGGAGGCCCUCGCCCACCGACCCCUGCGGCCGAGAGCUCCCCGACGCUACCGCUCUGGCCGCGACGGCGCCCUCCAGGCCGGCGCCCCCGCCCCCCAGCUGUACCGCGACAGGCACCGGCGCAGCCCCCUGACCCCGCCCUCGAGCCGCGUCGGCCCCGGCCCCGGCCCGGGGGACCCCCGGCGCCGCCGAGGGCGCCGGCGGAGCGCGGCGGAGGGUCGCCGGGCCUCCCGCCGCGCCGGCCGAGGACCGCGUGGCGCCGUCGGGCCGCCCGCCGCGCUCUGGGGGACCCGCGUCGGGGCCGGGGGUCCCGCCGCCCAGUGGGGGGAGGGGUGCGCGCCGCCCUCGCCGCGUCCCCCGCCCGCCCCGCCGGGGUCUGCGUCGCCCGGCCCGAGGUCCCCGCCCCGUCGGCCCGUCGGGGCGGACCCUCCCGCGGGGCCGGGGUUCGGAGGGCCGACAAUAAAAGCGAGGAGCCGAGAUCGUCUUGGCCUCCGUCCUCGCCCCGUCCCUUUCUCUCUCUCUCUAGUCGUCCGGCAGCGUGGCUCAGCGGCGAGAGCGCGGGCCCGGGAGUCCGGGGUCGUGGGUUCGAAUCCCAGCCCCGCCCCUCGACCGCCGGCGAGUCGCUCCGCCUCUCUGGGCCUCGGUUCCCUCAUCUGUCAAAUGGGGGUGAAGACCGGGAGCCCCACGUGGGACGGCCCGAUGACCCCGUCUCUCCCCCGGCGCUCAGAACGGCGCUCUGCGCGUAGUAAGCGCUCAGCGGACACCGACGCGGUCGUCCACGAGAAGCGGCACGGCGCAGCGGCUGGAGCCCGGCCCUGGGAGUCAGGUGGUCACGGGUUCCAAUCCCGCCCCCGCCACCCGUCUGCCCGGUGACCUCGGGGAAGUCACUUGGCUUCUCCAGUUCCCUCAUCGGUCAGAUGGGGACGGGGACUGGGAGCCCCAGGCGGGACGAGGACCGCGUCCAACCCCGUUUGCUCGGAUCCACCCCGGCGCUUAGUACGGGGCCCGGCACGUGGGACGCGCUCAACGGGAGGCACGGUUACCGUUGCGCCGUCCUUCCCCGUCCCCGUGCCUUGCCACCGGGGAGGAGGGCGGAGGAGCACGUGGGCACCCGUCGGCGAGGCCUUCCUUCCUAUCGCCCGACAUUCCCUCCUAUCGCCCGAUGUUCCCGCGUCGCGACGGGGGGGGGGGCCGUGUGGAGCGGCGGCGUUCCCGGGGUGGGCUGUGGACGACGGGCCCGGCAGGGAGGAAGACGACAGGCUGGGUAACGAUGAUAGUAAUAAUGACGACGAUAGCAUUCGCUAAGCGCUCGCUAGGCGCCAAGCACCGUUCUAAACGCUGGGGCAGACACGGGCUAAUCAGGUCCCACGUGGAAGCGGCGCGACUCAGCGGAAAGAGCCCCGGCUUGGGAGUCGGGGGUCACGGGUUCGGAUCCCGGCCCCGCCACUGGUCAGCCGUGCGUGACCGUGGGCGAGUCGCUUCACCGCUCUGGGCCUCCGGUGACCUCAUCUGGAAAAUUGGGGAUUAACCGUGAGCCCCACGUGGGCCGACCCGAUGACCCCGGAUCUCCCCCAGCGCUUAGAACGGUGCUCGGCACACAGUAAGCGCUUAACGGAUACCAACACUAGUAUUAUCAGAGGUCACGGGAUCUGAUCCCCACUCCGCCGCCUGUCAGCUGGGGGGCUUUGGGCAGGCCGCUUCACUUCUCUGGGCCUCAGUGGCCUCCCCUGGGACCGUGAGCCCCACAGGGGACGGUCCGAUCACCCCGUAUCCCUCCCGGCGCUCAGCACAGUGCUUCGCACACAGUAAGGGCUUAGCAAGGGCCAAUCGUUAACGAUGCGGGGCUCACAGUCUCCGUCGGCAUUUGACAGGCGAGGUCGCCGAGGCCCAGAGAGGCGAAGCGACUUUUCGUUCGAUAGUAUUUACUGAGCGCUCACUAUGUGCGGAGCACCGUACUAAGCGCUUGGAACGGACGAUUUGGCAACGGAGGGAGACGGUCCCCGCCCGAGGACGGGCUCACGGUCUAAUCGGGGGAGACGGAGGGCAAAGCCAAACAAAACAGAGGAAAACGAGACGACGUCGUCAAGAUGAAUAGAAUCAAGGAGAGAUACACCUAAUUCACAGAGUAAACGGGGUGAUAAAUAACCUAUAGGAAGGAGCACAGUGCUGAGGGGAGGGGAAGGCACUUCUCGGUGCCUCAGUCCCCUCUUCUGGAAAACGGGGAUGAAGACCGCGAGCCUCACCUGAUGACCCCGUACAAUAAUGGCGGUAUCUGUCAAGCGCCCACUACGCGCCGAGCACCGUUCCAAGCGCCGGGGCGGACACGGGGGGAAUCGGGUCGUCCCCCGCGGGGCUCCCGGUCUUCAUCCCCACUUGACAGACGAGGGAACCGAGGCACCGAGAGGUGGAGCGACUCGCCCGAAGUCACACAGCCGCCGAGUGGCCGAGCCGGGAUCCGGACCCGCGGCCUCCGACCCCGAAGCCCGGGCUCAGAACGGGGCUCGGCCCACAGGAAGCGCUUCACGGAUGCCCAGCGAAUGAGGUCGUCGGACGCCGGCCCCGUGGGGCUCCCGGUCUCCAUCCGGCGUUGGCCCAGUGGAAAGAGCCCGGGCUUGGGCGUCAGCGGUCGCGGGUUCGGAUCCCAGCUCUGCCAUUUGGCCGUGUGACCGGGAAGGGACCGAGGGGUCCCUUCACUUCCCCGUGCCUCAGUUCCCUCCUCCGUAAAAUGGGGACCGACCCGAUGAGCCCUUCCCGCCCCCGGCGCUUAGAACGGUGCCGUGCACGGAGCGAGCGCUUGACAGAUACCAACGCGAUUCUCAUCGUCCCCAUUUGACAGAGGACGGAACCGUGGCCGGGAGGGGCGAAACGACCGAGCCGAGGUCACCCCCGGGGGACAGGUGGGGCAGGAGGAGGAGGAGGCGGGAUUAGGCGGGAUCGGGAAGCAGCGCGGCUCAGCGGAGAGAGGCCGGGCUUCGGAGUCCGAGGUCAUGGGUUCGGCUCCCGGCCCGGCCCCUCGUCGGCCCGGGUGACCGUGGGCCGGUCGCUUCGCCUCUCCGGGCCUCAGUUCCCUCAUCUGGGAGAUGGGGAUUCGCCGUGAGCCUCACGGGGGACCGCCCGAUCACCCCGGAUGUCCCCCGGCGCUUGGAACGGUGCUCCGCACCGAGUACAGAUCCCAACGUCGCGAUUAUUAACCCGGGUCCUCGGAGGUCCAGAGGCCGGCGGGGCGAGGAGGAGGAGGGAAGGGGAGGAGGAGGAGGAGAAGGGCCGGGCCCGGCCGGGGAUGGGGCGGAUCCCAUGGGUCUGGGCCUUGGCGCACCUGAUUCCCCCCGAGGCUCGGGAACAAAGGCGCUUUGUACGCCGCCGCCGCCGCCUCCCUCAUCACACCUCUGCCGCGGGCGGGGGGCUUCGACGCCCAGAAAACCGACGGGGAGGGGAGGGGGAGGAUGACGAUGGGCUUGGUUAAGCCCUCGCUUCCGGGGGGCGUCCGAAGCGACGGGGCCGCGCUCCCGCUCCUCAUCCCCAUUCGACGGAGGAGGGAACUGAGGCCCGGAGAGGCGACCUGCCCGACGUCACCCAGCGGACGAGUGGAGGGGGCGGGAUCAGAACCCGGGACCCGGGGCUCCCCAGCCCGCCAUUCGUUCGGUCGCGUCUGUCGAGCGCCCACCCUGCGCAGAGCGCUGUGCUGAGCUUAGAGAAGCAGCGCGGCCCAGUGGCAAGAGCCCGGGCUUGGGAGUCCGAGGUCGUGGGUUCGACCCCCCCCCGGCUCUGCCCCUCGUCAGCCGGGCGACUGCGGGCCGAGUCGCUUCCCCCCCUCCGGGCCUCGGUUCCCCCGUCUGUCAGACGGGGAUGAAGACCGGGAGCCCCGCGGGGGACGACCCGAUCCCCCGCCGUGUCCGCCCCGGCGCCUGGAACGGCGCCCGGCACAUCGGAGCGCUUCACGAGGACCGACGUUAAUUGUUCACGGACACGCGGCCAACGGGGAGAGGCCAUCUGGCGUCGAUGUCAUCGAGAGAAAUGGGAUCACGGAGAUAUAUAUAUAUAUAUAUAUAUACGUAUCAUUCGCGAUAAUAAAUAAUCCGAUAUACAAGCACGCCCGGUCGGUCCCGCUUCCCGCCGUCCUCGGCCCCGUGUGGGCGGCCGUCGUCUCCCUUCGCGGCGGCCGGAUUGUGCCCUCCGAGCGCCCGGUACGGUGCCCCGCCCGCCGGAAGCGCUCGAUAAAUACCGGUGAUAACCGUAACAGCAACGACGGCGUCUGUUGAGCGCUCACUCUGGGCGGAGCACCGUCCUAAGCGCCGGGGGAGAUACGGGGUCAUCGGGUCGUCCCGCCGGAGGCUCCCGGCCUUCGUCCCCGUUCUCCAGACGAGGAACUGAGGCCCAGUGGAGUGAAGCGACUCGCCCACCGUCACACAGCUGACGGGUGGCAGGGCCGGGAUCCGCACUCGCGACCGCGCCCUUCCCGCUGAGCCGCACUGCUCGACGGCAUUUUGUUAGGCGCCUACUGUGUGCCGGGCACCGUUCUAAGCGCUGAAUCCAGAAGCGGCGAGGCUUGGCGGAAAGAGCUCGGGCUUGGGAGUCAGAGGUCGUGGGUUCGAAUCCCGGCUCUGCCCCUUGCCAGCUGUGUGGCUUUGGGCGAGUCACUUCACUUCUCCGGGCCUCAGUGACCUCAUCUGUAAAAUGGGCAUUGACUGUGAGCCCCACGUGGGACAACCUGAUCACCUUGUAGCCCCCCCCCCCGGCGCUUCGAACGGUGUCCUGCACACAGUGAGCGCUUAACAGACACCAAC
rnacentral:lncRNA from 1 species